GAAAGUCUAUGCCUUUUUCUACACUAUUUCUCCUUCUCCACCAACAUCCUCCCCCCUUCGGGUUGAUACUGCAGAGAAGUGGGCCUCUGGCUUUAAAUGAUCACAGCUGUGCGAGCAAAUUAAUGGAUGAUAUUUCUCUGUUUUCCCCCCUUUCUACAACGUUUUUCAACAUGGAUUUAUAAAGAGGGAAAGAGGGACCAGGGGUGUCACGCUUCUACGUUUUCCCCCUCCUCUUUCCAAUUAUUCAUGCAUCUCAGUCUGCUCAACUAUGAGAGAGAGGAAGAGUGUGCAUGUGUGUGUCCUGGGAGAGAGAGCAGGCGAGAGAGAUGGCGAGGGAGGGAGAAAAUGAAAUGUAAGACAGAUACGGAGAGUGAAAGAGAAGAAGGGAGUGUGGAGAGAGCAAGCUAGCGAGAGUCGAGAGCCAGUAAUGCGGUGCAUUGAUGCAUUUGCUGCUUCUCAGACGUGCUCUUUUGGUGGGACGUAGCCCGGGGUUUUUGGCAGCAGCAGGCUUCCUGUUUUCCAUUACCCAAUCAAACCAGACCUGGAAUAGGGAUAAACGCACGAACGGAGUUGCCGCGGCUGAGCAGCGCUGGACGAGUGAGGCUGCGAGAAAACUGUGAUCGGCUUCAUACUCAUCCUCAUCCUCACACCAGGAUGAUAUGUAAAUCUAGCAGCCUCCAUGUCAGAAACGGACUUCGGGUCACUGAGUUUAGGCUCUACAAGUUCAAGAAAACACUUCGACAAUGGCGUAGCAAAUGGCUGUUACAUUACCAGAACCCCAAGGAGGCUUUUCUGCGUAAACCUGCUGACCCUACGCAAGCAAGACAUGCCCGUCUGACUGUAAUAAACCCCCCGUAGGGGGCCCAAGUCUCCCUCUCUCACCUUCCUAAAGCACUUCCAGUUGCUGGCUCCCCUCUCUCUGCCGUGGCUCUGACGUCGGAGUCGAAUCUCCUACUUUGUCUUGAUUGUAUUAAAUCUGCAAAACACAAAUUAAAAUGAAUUUAAAAGAAAUAAACUAUGAAAUGCUU